CAGUCGAACGGGUAACAGGGGUCUUCGGAUGCUGACGAGUGGCGAACGGGUGAGUAAUACAUCGGAACGUGCCCGAUCGUGGGGGAUAACGGAGCGAAAGCUUUGCUAAUACCGCAUACGAUCUACGGAUGAAAGCAGGGGACCGCAAGGCCUUGCGCGGACGGAGCGGCCGAUGGCAGAUUAGGUAGUUGGUGGGAUAAAAGCUUACCAAGCCGACGAUCUGUAGCUGGUCUGAGAGGACGACCAGCCACACUGGGACUGAGACACGGCCCAGACUCCUACGGGAGGCAGCAGUGGGGAAUUUUGGACAAUGGGCGAAAGCCUGAUCCAGCCAUGCCGCGUGCAGGAUGAAGGCCUUCGGGUUGUAAACUGCUUUUGUACGGAACGAAAAGACUCCUUCUAAUAAAGGGGGUCCAUGACGGUACCGUAAGAAUAAGCACCGGCUAACUACGUGCCAGCAGCCGCGGUAAUACGUAGGGUGCAAGCGUUAAUCGGAAUUACUGGGCGUAAAGCGUGCGCAGGCGGUUAUAUAAGACAGAUGUGAAAUCCCCGGACUCAACCUGGGAACUGCAUUUGUGACUGUAUAGCUAGAGUACGGCAGAGGGGGAUGGAAUUCCGCGUGUAGCAGUGAAAUGCGUAAUAUGCGGAGGAACACCGAUGGCGAAGGCAAUCCCCUGGGCCCUGUACUGACGCUCAUGCACGAAAGCGUGGGGAGCCAAACAGGAUUAGAUACC
rnacentral:rRNA from 1 species